rnacentral:pre_miRNA from 1 species
AGCUUCUCGAAUCCGUGCUGAGAUUUCGUCAGACACAAACCCGACAUUGCUGAUCAGAUUUCCAAGAUAAGUGAAAUU